rnacentral:rRNA from 1 species
GAUGAACGCUAGCUACAGGCUUAACACAUGCAAGUCGCGGGGUAACGAUCUGGUAGAGCUUGCUCUUCCAGGAUGACGACCGGCGCACGGGUGAGUAAACGCGUAUCCAACCUGGCCCAUACCACGGGAUAGCCCGUCGAAAGGCGGAUUAAUACCGUAUGCUGUCAUUAAGAUGCAUAUAUUGAUGACGAAAGGACUGGCGGUAUGGGAUGGGGAUGCGUCUGAUUAGCUUGUUGGCGGGGUAACGGCCCACCAAGGCGACGAUCAGUAGGGGUUCUGAGAGGAAGGUCCCCCACAUUGGAACUGAGACACGGUCCAAACUCCUACGGGAGGCAGCAGUGAGGAAUAUUGGUCAAUGGGCGCAAAGCCUGAACCAGCCAAGUAGCGUGAGGGAAAGACUGCCCUACGGGUUGUAAACCUCUUUUGUUUUGGGAAUAAAGUGCGGGACGCGUCCGCAUUGCAUGUACCAUUUGAAUAAAGGAACCGGCUAAUUCCGUGCCAGCAGCCGCA